rnacentral:rRNA from 1 species
GAUGAACGCUGGCGGCGUGCCUAAUACAUGCAAGUCGAGCGAACAGACGAGGAGCUUGCUCCUCUGACGUUAGCGGCGGACGGGUGAGUAACACGUGGAUAACCUACCUAUAAGACUGGGAUAACUUCGGGAAACCGGAGCUAAUACCGGAUAAUAUAUUGAACCGCAUGGUUCAAUAGUGAAAGACGGUUUUGCUGUCACUUAUAGAUGGAUCCGCGCCGCAUUAGCUAGUUGGUAAGGUAACGGCUUACCAAGGCGACGAUGCGUAGCCGACCUGAGAGGGUGAUCGGCCACACUGGAACUGAGACACGGUCCAGAGUCCUACGGGAGGCAGCAGUAGGGAAUCUUCCGCAAUGGGCGAAAGGCUGACGGAGCAACGCCGCGUGAGUGAUGAAGGUCUUCGGAUCGUAAAACUCUGUUAUUAGGGAAGAACAAAUGUGUAAGUAACUAUGCACGUCUUGACGGUACCUGAUCAGAAAGCCACGGCUAAGUACGUG